UACGUGUAUUAAUUGCAUUGCAAUCUGACUUAACACUUUCACUGCAGCUGACGCUUAUAAGCAUCACAACAAGCCACGAGCCAGUGCGGCUGACGCUUAUAAGCGUCCGCGCUCACUGUCGGAUUACGCAGUCUAGUUGCAGCGUCUAAGCUAGCAUAAAAGCGUGUACACCUUUGUGUGGUCAGUUAUCGAACAUAUAUUGUUCGUAAUGGAGACUAAUGAACAGACACCUGGACCUUCCAAUGUGAAAAGGAGCAGGAAAAGUGUUAAACUGACAGAGGAACAGUUACUAAGUGUACUAGACGACAGUGAUUUGCUGUGUAGUGAGGACGAGGCAUACCACAGAGAUUGUCAUUUAGAGGCUGCAAAAGAAUUUCAGAGUGAUGAUAGCGUGGAAGCACAAGUUUAUAAUCUGUUUCAUGACAGUACCUGCCGUUUCAGAGUGUUACCGACCCGCACUCGCACGUUGCCGGGCCGCACUGGAGAGUUGCGCACCUGCACCGACGCCGCAGCGAAAGUGUUAAACUAUAGUGACUGUUACCUAUUAAAAAAGUUUUGAAUCUGUUGCAAGAUACUCUGUUGACAGAAGGAACUGAACCUCUAUAAAAUGGCAACUCCUCAAGAGAAGGUAAAACAUGUGUCCUGGUUUAUUGAGACAAAAUCGGAUGUUCAGACCCAACGAAACUUCAGAACGAAGUUUGGAAGAGAUCCACCAUCACGCCCUUCAAUCCAUGCAUGGCACAAAAAAUUUUUGGAGACAGACAGUGUUGGAUAAAGGUAAGAGUGGGCGACCAAGAACACCUGAGGAAAACACCAAUUGCAUUUUAAAUGCCUUCAUUUGUUCACCUAUGAAGUCCAUCCGCACUGCUGCCAGACAGUUGCAACUACCACGUUCAACUGUGCAUAAGGUCCUCCACAAGAACUUAUGGUUGUAUGCUUACAAAGUGCAACAGUUACAGACACUUAAGUCAAAUGACAAGCCAAAAGGGACAGAGUUUGCACUCAACAUGCUGGAGAACCUUUCAGAGGAUGAAGCAUUCCUCAAGUGAGUUUGUUUCAGUGAUGAGGCAACUUUUCAUGUUUCUGGGACAUUAAACAGACACAGUGUGAGAAUCUGGGGAUCUGAACACCCCCGUGUGACUAGGAAGAUUCACUGGGAUAAUCCAAAAGUGAAUGUGUGCAGUGGAAUCAUGUGCAACCAAAUAGUUAGUCCAUUUUUCUUCAACGAGUCAACAAUUACUGCAGAUGUUUACCUCAAUCUUUUGACCAAAUAUUUAGCACCACAACUGAUUGACGUACAACCAACUGUUAUUUUCCAACAAGAUGGUACACCACCACAUUGAGGACUGCAGGUUUGUCAGUUCCUCAAUGAAACAUUUCCAAGCAGAUUGGGAGGGAUGGGCCAAUUCCUUGGCCACCGUGUUCACCAGAUAUCGCUACCUUGGACUUUUUUUUAUGGAGGUAUGUAAAAAUAUUGUGUAACAAACACCAAUAUGGGACAUUGCUGACUUAAAGCCAAGGUUUCGUAAUGCCAUUGCCACCACUGAUGACGCAGUGCUACAGUGAACAUGGCAAGAAAUUGCGUACCGUCUUGAUGUGCUUCAUGCCACUAAAGGUGCCCAUAUAGAGGUCUAUUAAACACUGUCAAAAUUUUUUAUGUAAACACUGAUUACAAUAAAAGAAAUGUUGUUAAGAUAUUUCAACAACUGCCUUUGUAAUAAAAAUUUGAAGUUGUAAAGGGACUUUAUGGACACCCUGUAUUAUUUAUUUGCAACCUUGACUAUCAACAGAUUUUAUUAAGAAAAAUUUUUAACUUUUUGUAAAAUAUAAAAGAGCACUGCAGUGGAUUUCUCCUCCAACUCUGAAGGUGAGUAGUGUGUGCCACAGAAGUUAUUGUUGAAACCAUUACUGUUUAUUCUAUAAACAAAUAAAAUACCUCUAACGUUAGAA